UACGUAGGGGGCAAGCGUUGUCCGGAUUUAUUGGGCGUAAAGAGCGUGUAGGCGGCCACACAGGUCAGCUGUGAAAACUCGAGGCUCAACCUCGAGACGUCGGUUGAAACCGUAUGGCUAGAGUCCGGAAGAGGAGAGUGGAAUUCCCGGUGUAGCGGUGGAAUGCGCAGAUAUCAGGAGGAACACCGGUGGCGAAGGCGGGUCUCUGGGCCGUUACUGACGCUGAGGAGCGAAAGCGUGGGGAGCGAACAGG
rnacentral:rRNA from 1 species